rnacentral:rRNA from 1 species
UACGAGGGGGGCGAGCGUUGUUCGGAAUUAUUGGGCGUAAAGGGUGCGUAGGCGGUUUGUCGCGUCUGCCGUGAAAGUCCGGGGCUCAACUCCGGAUCUGCGGUGGGUACGGGCAGACUAGAGUGAUGUAGGGGAGACUGGAAUUCCUGGUGUAGCGGUGAAAUGCGCAGAUAUCAGGAGGAACACCGAUGGCGAAGGCAGGUCUCUGGGCAUUAACUGACGCUGAGGAGCGAAAGCAUGGGGAGCGAACAGG